GUGAGGUGUGUAGGAGGGUGAGGUGUGUAGGAGGGUGAGGUGUGUAGGAGGGUUUGGUGUGUAGGAGGGUGAGGUGUGUAGGAGGGUGAGGUGUGUAGGAGGGUGAGGUGUGUAGGAGGGUGAGGUGUGUAGGUGGGUGAGGUGUGUAGGAGGGUGAGGUGUGUAGGAGGGUGAGGUGUGUAGGAGGGUUUGGUGUGUAGGAGGGUGAGGUGUGUAGGAGGGUGAGGUGUGUAGGAGGGUGAGGUGUGUAGGAG
rnacentral:lncRNA from 1 species